ACUCUCCAAGACACCAUAAAACCUGUACAUAGUGGGUACUGUUUUACUCGGAAGACUUCGCUGAACUCAUAUAUUUGUUUUUUCAACUGGUAAAUUGUAUCACAACGAUGAUAUUUUAAGUAAAAUUUACGUUUUUUGCAUUUUUUACAAACUAACGGCACUUUUAUGGACUAGAUUAUUGUUGUAAUAUGUUUUACUGUUUUAAAACACUAAUAUUUGUGUUUAGUGAAGUCUCCCGAGAAUAACAGUACCCCCCAUGUACGGGUUUUAUGGUGUUUUGGAAAGU